rnacentral:rRNA from 1 species
GGAAGUCUGACCAGCCAUGCCGCGUGCAGGAAGAACGGCCUUUCUGGGUUGUAAACUGCUUUUGCCAGGGGCUAAAAAGCUCAUGCGUGAGAAAUUGAAAGUACCUGGUGAAUAAGCCACGGCUAACUACGUGCCAGCAGCCGCGGUAAUACGUAGGUGGCAAGCGUUGUCCGGAUUUAUUGGGUUUAAAGGGUGCGUAGGCGGCUUUGUAAGUCAGUGGUGAAAUAUGGCAGCUCAACUGUCAGGGUGCCAUUGAUACUGCGGAGCUUGAGUACAGAUGAGGUAGGCGGAAUUGACGGUGUAGCGGUGAAAUGCUUAGAUAUCGUCAAGAACACCGAUAGCGAAGGCAGCUUACUAGGCUGUAACUGACGCUGAGGCACGAAAGUGUGGGGAUCAAACAGGAUUAGAUACCCUGGUAGUCCACACUGUAAACGUUGAUGACUCGCUGUUGGCGAUACACGGCCAGCGGCAGAGAGAAAUCGUUAAGUCAUCCACCUGGGGAGUACGCCGGCAACGGUGAAACUCAA